GAGGGUAUAGCUUAAGUGGUAAAGCUCAUGCAUGCAUGAGGUCCUGGGUUCAAUCCCCAGUACCUCCU
rnacentral:tRNA from 1 species